CAGGACUUGCAUAGGAAUUGCAACACCUGUGGCCUAGACUGCCCCUCAAGUUCACUUAGGGCCCCAGAGCACUCCAGCACACAGUGGCAGGGCUUUUAUCAAGUCAUGCUGGGAUAGAUAAUUCUGUCUGGUUAGGGCCAGUCCAAAUGCUCCCUCUGUGGGCAGAUGUCAGCUGAGUACAGCCCAGUUCUGCUUUCCACUGUGAUGGGGCAGCACUGAGUUCAGUGCAAAACCUCAUAAUCACCACACUCUCCCUCUUCAAAGCACACAGAUUCUCCACACCAUGCAGCCACUUCUGAGGAAUGGGGAACAGGUGGCAUCAGCACUUCAAGACUGUCUUUCUUGCUCUCUUCAAUAAUUCUUUCACUGAUAGAAGUUAAAACCAGGUGCCUUUGCUUCCCCCAUCAAGAGGUAGAGUCUAUUUCUCUACCCCCUUGAAUAGGGGUGCUUAAUGUCCUGCUUUGAACAAUAAAUUGCAGUAGAAGUGAUGGUGUUAGUUCCAAGUCUGGACCUCAAGUGGCCUGGCAGCUUCUGCUCUCGCUCUCUUGAGACCCUGAGAACACUGUGUGGAAAAGUCCAGUCCAGCUGGCUGGAGGAUGAGAAAGCUUGUGGGGAGUAAGGUCCGGAGAAGAGCUGUCACCCAUAGCCAGGCAUGUAAGUGAGUCAUGUUGGAUCACUCAGCCCCAGUGGAACUGCCUGAUGACAGCAGUCACGAGUGUCCUCAGGAAAACCAACAGAGGAACAGCCCAGCUGAUCCCAGCCCAAACUGCUGACCCACAGAAUUAUGAGGAAAAACUUGUUGUAUUAAACCAUCAAAUUGUGUAGGUGCUUUUAAUGCAUAAAAAGAGUUUCUGAACUCUUCAUCGAGGGCUGUAUGGAUUUCCUGAGAACAAACAAGUCCAUCUUGGUGAAAGAAUCCACCUUCACUGAUGUGAAACUAAAGGUUGAGCAAGUUUACUUCUGGAGAAGAACGCUGUUGACAGGCUUACACAUGAUGAUGGAGCAAUGGAAAUAUUAAUGCUGGGUGAUUAACACAGACUCUACAACCGGAGAUAAUACGUGAAACACAUAAUGGAAUGUCAAAACAAAUUAAUUUCCUGGUCCGGCUUGUAAAUACAGUACUUUGUGUAAGCAACAGCAAAAAACCAUGAAAAGUGAGAUCUUCGUGAUACUAAUUUCACUCACCCAUUCAACAGGUUGUUUUGUUUUUUUAGAAGAAGAUGGGGAUUUUCUGUUCAGCUCAAGCCCUCCAACCACGAGGCUGAAAGUGAGUACCUAUCUGCAGCCUGGAACUUGGGUAUUAGCAGCCAUGGUUCUGCACAGAGCCGUUCUCACCUCCUUGAACCAUGAGUCCUGCAGAGUGUCCUGAGAGGGGCUGGAUGUGUAAUUUCACCCUUCCCAGGCCAUUCUUGGAUCCAUCUCAGCCCAAUUCUGGAAGAGCAGUGCAAGAAAACAUUCUGGUGUCUUGUGAAACUUGUUCAGCUGGGAACUUGGCUACAAGGGUUGCUAUGGUAACCUAAGCAGCUGCACUUGGGGGAACUGUGCUUCCUGUUGGAGUGUGGGAUGUGUUUGUGUUUGCACAUGAACGUGUGUAGCACAGAGGAAAGGAAUGACAUCACUACCAAGAAGGGGCUAGUCAAUCCAUGUAAGGCCCUGGGAUUAUCCCAUAAGCCAUUUCCCUCAAGUCCACUCAAGUGUUCCCCCAGAGUCAAUUGCAAUUGUAAUUUCAUGACAGCAUGAAGCCAAUCCUUUUCAAAUUGUCUGCAUUAGCUCUAUGCUUGUGGAAAUCUUCUCCUCAAUGUGUGGUUCCUCCAAGUUUUAUCGGGAUAUAGUUGCCUCAUAAUCUUUCAGUCCAAUAAACCUGCAGGUAUCCACAGAUGGAUGAAUAGCAUGUGUAUUCUGCCUGUAAAUGUUGUUAAUGGCAGGUGACAGGGAUGCUGUGACUGCUUAUAAUAAUCGCGUUCAUCUUUGAAUGUUAAUUCACUUGAUCUUUUUGAAAUUAUAUCUAGAAUUUCUACAAAGCGUAUCAUCAAACAUGAUUUACAGAUUUUGGAUCUCAUGCAAUGUACUCAGGGUUUGUAAGAAGUUCGUCAUUCUCAGUGCUUCUUUGUAUAAUUAAAGAGCAAUGAGUAGUAUUACUUAAUAAAAUUUUAAACUCCCAAAUGUAAAAAGUCUGAAUCAUAUGCAACUGAAAAAAAAUGUGGAAGAAAUGUUACAUAUUAGAGAUGUUUAAAAUUAGAGACAAAGUGAAACCCUACACAGAUCCCUCUUCUCUCGGGUAUUAAUAAUAACAAUAAAU
rnacentral:lncRNA from 1 species